GGCCGGAAUAGCUCAGUUGGUAGAGCAGAGGACUGAAAAUCCUCGUGUCACCAGU
rnacentral:tRNA from 1 species